rnacentral:rRNA from 1 species
GAUGAACGCUGACCGAAUGCUUAACACAUGCAAGUCCACUUGAAUUUGGGUUUUUAACUUAGGUUUGGGUGGCGGACGGGUGAGUAACGCGUAAAGAACUUGCCUCACAGCUAGGGACAACAUUUGGAAACGAAUGCUAAUACCUAAUAUUAUGAUAAUAGGGCAUCCUAUAAUUAUGAAAGCUAUAAGCGCUGUGAGAGAGCUUUGCGUCCCAUUAGCUAGUUGGAGAGGUAACGGCUCACCAAGGCGAUGAUGGGUAGCCGGCCUGAGAGGGUGAUCGGCCACAAGGGGACUGAGACACGGCCCUUACUCCUACGGGAGGCAGCAGUGGGGAAUAUUGGACAAUGGACCGAGAGUCUGAUCCAGCAAUUCUGUGUGCACGAUGAAGUUUUUCGGAAUGUAAAGUGCUUUCAGUUGGGAAGAAACAAAUGACGGUACCAACAGAAGAAGAGACGGCUAAAUACGUG